GGGCUGUGGCUCAGUGGCAGAGCAUCUGCUGUGUGUUCGGAAGGGCCCAGGCUCAAUCCCUGGAAUGCCCA
rnacentral:tRNA from 1 species